rnacentral:tmRNA from 1 species
GGGGCUGAUUUUGGUUUCGACUUCGGACACUGAGCCAGGGGAAGCGUGCCGGUGCAGGCUGGAGACCACCGUGAGCGUCGCAGCAACAUGAUAAGCGCCGAGAAGAACUCUCAGCGUGACUACGCCCUCGCUGCCUAAGUAGCGACCUGCGUGUCCGUCAGACCUGGUAUGUCACUGAUCAGGAUCCUGGCGUCGACUUAAGUGACUUGCUUGCCGGCCGCGUCAGCGGGACCGGCAGGGACUUCCACCGCUGACUGGGCCCAUCAUCCGGAACGUGUUCGUCCGAGCCGGAGGGUCGAGUAGAGAUCGUGUGCGGACUGCGCACGGAGAAGCCCUGGCAAGGUGCCGGAGGACCCGGGUUCAAUCCCCGGCAGCUCCACCG